rnacentral:lncRNA from 1 species
UUCGCCCAAAAUUAGGCCAAGGCUAUAGCCCACCCGUUUUUUGGCCUUUUUUCCGCUGGGGGGUCUUGGCACCCCGACCUUCGGGGGCUGAUUUUUGGGCGCGGCUGUGCCCGUGGCCUAUUUUUGGCACAUGGAGGCCGCCCGCCAAGUCUGGGGCCAUUCCGAGUCCGGCGGACGAACUUCGCCCACGCCCCCCACCAAGGCUACAGCCCAACCGUUUUUUGGCCAUUUUUCCGCUGGGGGGUCUUGGCACCCCGACCUUCGGGGGCUGAUUUUUGGGUCCGGCCGUGCCCGUGGCCUAUUUUUGGCACACGGAGGCCGCCCGCCAAGUCUGGGGCCAUUCCGAGUCCGGCGGACGAAGUUCCGCCCAAAAUUAGGCCAAGGCUAUAGCCCACCCGUUUUUUGGCCUUUUUUCCGCUGGGGGGUCUUGGCACCCCGACCUUCGGGGGCUGAUUUUUGGGCGCGGCUGUGCCCGUGGCCUAUUUUUGGCACACGGAGGCCGCCCGCCAAGUCUGGGGCCAUUCCGAGUCCGGCGGACGAAGUUCGCCCAAAAUUAGGGCAAGGUUAUAGCCCACCCGUUUUUUGGCCAUUUUUCCGCUGGGGGGUCUUGGCACCCCGACCUUCGGGGGCUGAUUUUUGGGCAUGGCUGUGCCCGUGGCCUAUUUUUGGCACACGGAGGCCGCCCGCCAAGUCUGGGGCCAUUCCGAGUCCGGCGGACGAAGUUCGCCCAAAAUUAGGCCAAGGAUAUAGCCCACCCGUUUUUUGGCCUUUUUUCCGCUGGGGGGUCUUGGCACCCCGACCUUCGGGGGCUGAUUUUUGGGCGCGGCUGUGCCCGUGGCCUAUUUUUGGCACACGGAGGCCGCCCGCCAAGUCUGGGGCCAUUCCGAGUACGGAGGACGAAGUUCGCCCAAAAUUAGGCCAAGGCUAUAGCCCACCCGUUUUUUGGCCAUUUUUCCGCUGGGGGGUCUUGGCACCCCGACCUUCGGGGGCUGAUUUUUGGGCAUGGCUGUGCCCGUGGCCUAUUUUUGGCACACGGAGGCCGCCCGCCAAGUCUGGGGCCAUUCCGAGUCCGGCGGACGAAGUUCGCCCAAAAUUAGGCCAAGGCUAUAGCCCACCCGUUUUUUGGCCUUUUUUCCGCUGGGGGGUCUUGGCACCCCGAUCUUCGGGGGCUGAUUUUUGGGCACGGCUGUGCCUGUGGCCUAUUUUUGGUACACGGAGGCCGCCUGGAAAGUCUGGGGACAUUCCGAGUCCGGCGGACGAUCUUCGCCCACGCCCACCACCAAGGCUAUAGCCCACCCGUUUUUUGGCCAUUUUUCCGCUGGGGGGUCUUGGCACCCGAGCUUCGGGGGCUGAUUUUUGGGCACGGCUGUGCCAGUGGCCUAUUUUUGGCACACGGAGGCCGCCCGCCAAGUCUGGGGCCAUUCCGAGUCCGGCGGACGAAAUUCGCCCAAAAUUAGGCCAAGGCUAUAGCCCACCCGUUUUUUGGCCUUUUUUCCGCUGGGGGGUCUUGGCACCCCGACCUUCGGGGGCUGCUUUUUGGGCGCGGCUGUGCCCGUGGCCUAUUUUUGACACACGGAGGCCACCCGCCAAGUCUGGGGCCAUUCCGAGUCCGGCGGACGAAGUUCGCCCAAAAUUAGGCCAAGGCUAUAGCCCACCCGUUUUUUUGCCAUUUUUCCGCUGGGGGGUCUUGGCACCCCGACCUUCGGGGGCUGAUUUUUGGGCACGGCUGUGCCCGUGGCCUAUUUUUGGUACACGGAGGCCGCCUGCAAAGUCUGGGGACAUUCCGAGUCCGGCGGACGAUCUUCGCCCACGCCCACCACCAAGGCUAUAGCCCACCCGUUUUUUGGCCAUUUUUCCGCUGGGGGGUCUUGGCACCCCGACCUUCGGGGGCUGAUUUUUGGGCACGGCUGUGCCAGUGGCCUAUUUUUGGCACACGGAGGCCGCCCGCCCAGUCUGGGGCCAUUCCGAGUCCGGCGGACGAAGUUCCGCCCAAAAUUAGGCAAGGCUAUAGCCCACCCGUUUUUUGGCCUUUUUUCCGCUGGGGGGUCUUGGCACCCCGACCUUCGGGGGCUGAUUUUUGGGCACGGCUGUGCCCGUGGCCUAUUUUUGGUACACGGAGGCCGCCCGCAAAGUCUGGGGACAUUCCGAGUCCGGCGGACGAACUUCACCCGCGCCUACCACCAAGGCUAUAGCCCACCCGUUUUUUGGCCAUUUUUCCGCUGGGGGGUCUUGGUACCCCGACCUUCGGGGGCUGAUUUUUGGACGCGGCUGUGCCCGUGGCCUAUUUUUGGCACACGGAGGGCGCCCGCCAAGUCUGGGGCCAUUCCGAGUCCGGCGGACGAAGUUCGCCCAAAAUAGGCCAAGGCUAUAGCCCACCCGUUUUUUGGCCAUUUUUCCGCUGGGGGGUCUUGGCACCCCGACGUUCGGGGGCUGAUUUUUGGGCGCGGCUGUGGCCGUGGCCUAUUUUUGGCACACGGGGGCCGCCCGCAAAGUUUGGGGCCCUUUCGAGUCCGGGGGGCGAAAUUUGCCCACGCCCCCCACCAAGGCUAUAGCCCACCCGUUUUUUGGCCAUUUUUCCGCUGGGGGGUCUUGGCGCCCCGACCUUCGGGGGCUGAUUUUUGGGCGCGGCUGUGGCCCUGGCCUAGUUUUGGCACACGGAGGCCGCCCUUAAAGUCUGGGGCCAUUCCGAGUCCGGCGGACGAAGUUCGCCCACGCCCCCCACCAAGGCUAUAGCCCACCCGUUUUUUGGCCAUUUUUCCGCUGGGGGGUCUUGGCGCCCCGACCUUCGGGGGCUGAUUUUUGGACGCGGCUGUGGCCGUGACCUACUUUUGGCACACGGAGGCCGCCCGCAAAGUCUGGGGCCAUUCCGAGUCCGGCGGACGAACUUCGCCCGCGCCCCCCACCAAGGCUAUAGCCCACCCGUUUUUUGGCCAUUUUUCCGCUGGGGGGUCUUGGCGCCCCGACCUUCGGGGGCUGAUUUUUGGGCGCGGCUGUGCCAGUGUUCUAUUUUUGGCACACGGAGGCCACCCGCAAAGUCUGGGGCCAUUCCGAGUCCGGCGGACGAACUUCGCCCACGCCCCCCACCAAGGCUAUAGCCCACCCGUUUUUUGGCCAUUUUUCCGCUGGGGGGUCUUGGCGCCCCGACCUUCGGGGGCUGAUUUUUGGCCGCGGCUGUGGCCGUGGCCUAUUUUUGGCACAUGGAGGCCGCCCGCAAAGUCUGGGGCCAUUCCGAGUCCGGCGGACGAACUUCGCCCACGCCCCCCACCAAGGCUAUAGCCCACCCGUUUUUUGCCCAUUUUUCCGCUGGGGGGUCUUGGCCUCCCGACCAUCGGGGGCUAAUUUUUGGGCCCGGCUGUGUCCGUGGCCUAUUUUUAGCACACGGAGGCCGCCCGCAAAGACUGGGGCCAUUCCGAGUCCGUCGGACAAACUUCGCCAAUGCCCCCCACCAAGGCUAUAGCCCACCCAUUUUUUGGCCAUUUUUCCGCUCUGGUGUCUUGGCGCCCCGACAUUCGGGGGCUGAUUUUUGGGCGCGGCUGUGCCCGUAGCCUAUUUUUGGCACACGGAGGCCGCCCGCAAAGUCUGGGGCCAUUCCGAGUCCGGCGGACGAACUUCGCCCACGCCCCCCACCAAGGCUAUAGCCCACCCGUUUUUUGGCCAUUUUUCCGCUGGGGGGUCUUGGCGCCCCGACCUUCGGGGGCUGAUUUUUGGGCGCGGCUGUGCCCGUGGCCUAUUUUUGGCACACGGAGGCCGCCCGCACAGUCUGGGGCCAUUCCGAGUCCGGCGGACGAACUUCGCCCACGCCCCCCAUCAAGGCUAUAGCCCACCCGUUUUUUGGCAAUUUUUCCGU